CAGCAGCCGCGGGAAUACGUAGGGUGCGAGCGUUAAUCGGAAUUACUGGGCGUAAAGCGUGCGCAGGCGGUUUUGUAAGACAGGCGUGAAAUCCCCGGGCUCAACCUGGGAAUGGCGCUUGUGACUGCAAAGCUAGAGUGCGGCAGAGGGGGAUGGAAUUCCGCGUGUAGCAGUGAAAUGCGUAGAUAUGCGGAGGAACACCGAUGGCGAAGGCAAUCCCCUGGGCCUGCACUGACGCUCAUGCACGAAAGCGUGAGGAGCAAACAGGAUUAGAUACCCGCGUAGUCCCUGUCUCUUAUAC
rnacentral:rRNA from 1 species